rnacentral:rRNA from 1 species
UUUGGUUUGUGAGAAUCACACAUGCCAGGAAGUUGCCAGUGGCAAGACCAUUUACCAAAACUUGCUUAAAACAAACUGUCUGAAUUUUUUGCUUCCGUGAAAUAAAACUUUCAACAACGGAUCUCUAGGCUCUUGCAUCGAUGAAGAACGCAGUGAAAUGCGAUAAGUAAUGUGAAUUGCAGAAUCUCGUGAAUCAUCGAAUCUUUGAACGCACAUUGCGCCCUAUGGUAUUCCGUAGGGCAUGCCUGUCUGAGCGUCAGCUCCCCCCCACUCAAGUAUCCAUUUUGUGAUGUUUGGAUUGCUUUGGAGAGUUAGCUUUUAUUACAGAGUCGCCCUUCAGAAAUUCAGAGGCAGUAUGGUUUGCACUUGAACCAGACGUAAUAAUAAUAAAAUCGUUUGUUUGGGUAGAAUUGUACUUGCCUUAACCCACCCACCCAUUAAACUCU